GGUAAACGGCGGCCGUAACUAUAACGGUCCUAAGGUAGCGAAAUUCCUUGUCGGGUAAGUUCCGACCUGCACGAAUGGCGUAAUGAUGGCCAGGCUGUCUCCACCCGAGACUCAGUGAAAUUGAACUCGCUGUGAAGAUGCAGUGUACCCGCGGCAAGACGGAAAGACCCCGUGAACCUUUACUAUAGCUUGACACUGAACAUUGAGCCUUGAUGUGUAGGAUAGGUGGGAGGCUUUGAAGUGUGGACGCCAGUCUGCAUGGAGCCGACCUUGAAAUACCACCCUUUAAUGUUUGAUGUUCUAACGUGGGCCCCUUACCGGGGUUGCGGACAGUGUCUGGUGGGUAGUUUGACUGGGGCGGUCUCCUCCUAAAGAGUAACGGAGGAGCACGAAGGUUGGCUAAUCCUGGUCGGACAUCAGGAGGUUAGUGCAAUGGCAUAAGCCAGCUUGACUGCGAGCGUGACGGCGCGAGCAGGUGCGAAAGCAGGUCAUAGUGAUCCGGUGGUUCUGAAUGGAAGGGCCAUCGCUCAACGGAUAAAAGGUACUCCGGGGAUAACAGGCUGAUACCGCCCAAGAGUUCAUAUCGACGGCGGUGUUUGGCACCUCGAUGUCGGCUCAUCACAUCCUGGGGCUGAAGUAGGUCCCAAGGGUAUGGCUGUUCGCCAUUUAAAGUGGUACGCGAGCUGGGUUUAGAACGUCGUGAGACAGUUCGGUCCCUAUCUGCCGUGGGCGCUGGAGAACUGAGGGGGGCUGCUCCUAGUACGAGAGGACCGGAGUGGACGCAUCACUGGUGUUCGGGUUGUCAUGCCAAUGGCACUGCCCGGUAGCUAAAUGCGGAAGAGAUAAGUGCUGAAAGCAUCUAAGCACGAAACUUGCCCCGAGAUGAGUUCUCCCUGACUCCUUGAGAGUCCUGAAGGAACGUUGAAGACGACGACGU
rnacentral:rRNA from 1 species